rnacentral:sRNA from 1 species
GUGAGUGAUAAUCCCAAGCUGGGCCCGGGCGAGGUUGCAGACGGGUCAGCAGUGGAUUCCUCGACACAGUCAAUCGAGGGAAUCAUUGAUGCAUGUGGGACCAAGGUCUACGGAGUCUACUCCGUAGUUAGGUAUGCAUGGAUGCAGCCCGGCCCGUCCCUGCUGGCUCUAUAUCUGACCCGGGACGGUUUGUACUCCGUAGACUCGUCCAUCCAUCUCCAGAGAUGCAAGCAAAAGCAAAACCUUUGGCUCUCGAGUGAGUGAGAUCUGAGACCUGAGAUCUGAGCUUGCUGGCUGCAUGCAGUUCCCCCUUCACCGAUCGACAUCUAGACAUACGCGGCGUAAGUAUUAUUGUUGGUCGGCCUCGUCCCGUGUGCAGCUGUGGGAUUCUUCCCUCGCGGCCCGAAUUUCAAUUUUCAUCCAUUUGACUCGAGCUUGAGCCCUUAAGCUGGCCCAACGAGAGUGGAUUGAUAUUCAGAGCGCAUCCCAAUCAUCAUCAUCAUCAUCAUCAUCAUUAUUCUUAUUAUUAUUAUAACGAGGCUACUUUAUUUUCUCCCUCUCUUUCAAUCUGGUGAUGGGAUAUGAAGAAAUCGCAAUUCAGCGAACCUCGUGCGGUAUCUCCCAGGUACACACUGUAUGUACUGUACAGUACAUGUGUACAGUGCAGCAAAUCAAUCGCACACUCACCACACCGUGGCCUGAUCCUGGAUGGGGACGGGGAGCUCUGUACUGAAAGAUGAAUACGUCAAUACCAAUAAAUACGGAAUACGUAAAGGGACGAUACACGCGGAACCAGCGCCAACAAAAGCUUCAACGAAAGCUUCAAAGCCAGCC